rnacentral:tRNA from 1 species
AAAGAUAUGAUGUUCAAGAAAAAGCUGCUAACUUUUUAUUAAGCGGUUAAAUUCCGUUUAUAUCUUUA